CGUAAGCCCUCGUAAAAUAAAGGACGGCUGCUUUAAUUCUUUCGGUAUAAAAGAAUAGGAAUGUACACCCUUCUCACGCAAAAGGGUCAUCAUUGACGAGUGGACAGACGGAUCGGAAAAAAACAAUUUACUCUUGUUUUUGUUUAUAUUCUUUACCUUAAAAGAAAACUUUGGUAUUGUGUCUCUUAAGGAGCCAACAAGCGCCUUAAUGUUGACAUUGUAAACAAAAGAUGGUGGAUGCCAGUUUGGCCUUGUCGCACCAUUGUUGUUGUUAUUAUUUUUAUUACCAGUAACUUGCGUUGCCGCGGAAGCAAAUCCACUUGAGUGAGAACAUUGAAGAUACCCAAGGAGUUGUCAUCUGUCUGCUUAUGCCUCUUCAGUCUUUUUCUGAGCUCCGGGAUUACGAUUUCAUUUAAAUUUGUUGCAUUUUCAGUACGCUGCCUCUUACAAGCAUUUUGGUGCGCGGCCAUGAUGUCAUUAUUCUGCGAUGUUGAAGCAUCCACCUCACCGACAUAAUAUCAACAUUAGAUUAACAUGACCACCAGGCAUGUGGUGGAUUUUAUUUUGGAGACGAGCUUUUCUUCUUCCAUUUAGAAACAACAACAUUGAAAGCUGUUUUUUUAAGUUCCGAGUGCUCAGGGUGUACGUACUAUCAUCUUUUUCAUCUGUUUGGCUUUUUAACAGCCGGUCAUACAAGUAAAUUUUUGUUUCAUUGUUUUUCAAGUCGAGCUUAAUGACUAAGCGAAUACAACACCCAAAGAAGAGAUUGUUUAACGAGUCUUGAAGAAAAGAAGUUGCCAGUUCCUCAGACAAGGCAGGACAUAUGUCACACCACUGGUGGACGCGUUUCGAUAAUUGGAUUACUUUUAUCUCAUCGGCGCCAUUAUUAUUUUAAUAAUAACCCCUCAGGUAAAUGCCCCAAAACUGUCGUGCCUGAAAGCAAAAUGUUACACUCGUCGCUUGAUGGCGUUGAUAUCCCCAUUAAAUCAGGCUUUAAAUACCUGGGUAUCCACUUUUAUAAGCUGCUGAAGUUUAAUCACCAUGGCCGAACAACAUUGCAGAAGGCACAACGGAUAGCAGGGAUGUCUCAUACCUUUCCAACAAUAAGCAUUUACCAACAAAUACAAAACUUUUUUGUAUAAAGUUGCCAUUCGACCUAUUUUGACUUAUGGAUUUCCGAUCUGGUUUACUAUUUCUCCAAUAGUAGCCAAAGGAUUGGAAGUAUUUGAAAAGAAAAUCCUACGAAAGUGCAUAAACAAAUAUUAUAUAUGUUCAACCAAGAAAUACUCCAAUACUUACAUUUAUAACACCGCAGAAGUCCUGCCUUUCUGUAUGUACGUGAUGCACCUUCAAAAGAAGUUUGUUGAAAAUCUUGCUACACAUGAAAAUGUAUUAUGUCCAAAAUUUAUAACAGAAAGAGGGAUUUGCAAUGGUCCAGUUCCGCUUAUCUCCCACCUGUGGGUGUAAUUCAUGAGAAUAUAGACAACGACUUGGAGCAGUUUAUCAUACCGCCAUUCUACUCCAGAACCUCGCCUGGGACCCAUAGAGGUUAAAUAGAUAACAAAAGAAUUUAGAUAGGUGUAAUUUGUAACUACUUACCCCAAUUAGUAAAAGAGCUUUGCUCAUAUCGUAUAUUCAGCUAAAUUUUUCAAAAAAAAACCAAAUAUUUAUAUAUGAUGUCCCCGAUUAGUAAAAGAGCUUUGCUCAUAUCGUAUAUUCAGCUAAAUUUUUCAAAAAAAACCAAAUAUUUAUAUAUGAUGUCCCCGAUGAACAUUCCUUCUACUUACCUAUUUUUAUAAAAAAAAAGUUUCUAAUACAACUUUUUACUCUUACCGAUUUAUACAAUUAAUGUGAAACCAACAUAAUAGUUUACUAUUUUCGCCAUGAACACUGACAGUUUUUUCUGUUAUCUAGUUUUUAAGUGUUAAGUUUUUUUAUAGUUGUUAUUGUUUACAGACCAUGCUCUGUGAGAGAAAUCCCAAGGCCGUGAGCAAGCCUUAUUUUUUGCAUUCACUUUAUUUUUAAACAUUAUGUUCAAAGUUCAGAAAAGGCAUGUUGCAUCUCUACCUUCAAUGUGUAUUAGCACAAGACGAUUAUAGUUCUAAGAGUUAUGUUAACAAUUCGUGAUAACACAUUCUCAUUGUAACUGAAAAUAAGAAGACUCCAAUAAAGUAUUUACUUACUUACU
rnacentral:sRNA from 1 species